rnacentral:rRNA from 1 species
AGGACGAACGCUGGCGGCAGGCCUAACACAUGCAAGUCGAGCGCCCGUAGCAAUACGGGAGCGGCAGACGGGAUAGUAACACGUGGGAACGCGCCCUUCGGUUCGGAAUAACUCAGGGAAACUUGAGCUAAUACCGAAUACGCCCUUACGGGGAAAGAUUUAUUGCCGAAGGAACGGCCCGCGUCCGAUUAGCUAGUUGGUGAGGUAAUGGCUCACCAAGGCUACGAUCGGUAGCUGGUCUGAGAGGAUGACCAGCAUCACUGGGACUGAGACACGGCCCAGACUCCUACGGGAGGCAGCAGUGGGGAAUAUUGGACAAUGGGCGCAAGCCUGAUCCAGCCAUGCCGCGUGGAUGAUGAAGGCCUUAGGGUUGUAAAGUCCUUUUAACGGGGAGAUAAUGACGGUACCGUAGAAUAAGCCCGGCUAACUUCGCGCCAGCAGCCGC